UGAUAAAUUUAGUUAAGUUAACAUUAGUUUGUCAGGCUAAAAAUAAAGGUAUUCCACAA
rnacentral:tRNA from 1 species